rnacentral:rRNA from 1 species
UACAGAGGUCCCAAGCGUUGUUCGGAUUCAUUGGGCGUAAAGGGUGCGUAGGCGGCUUGUUGCGUCGGCUGUGAAAACCCAUGGCUUAACCAUGGGCUUGCAGCCGAUACGGGCAGGCUAGAGUUCGGUAGGGGAGACUGGAAUUCCUGGUGUAGCGGUGAAAUGCGCAGAUAUCAGGAGGAACACCGGUGGCGAAGGCGGGUCUCUGGGCCGAUACUGACGCUGAGGAGCGAAAGCGUAGGGAGCGAACAGG